UUUUUUUAAAUUACACUCUGCUGAGUAAGGCUGUGCAAAAUAUGUAAAUAUUUUAACUCUCACAUUGCACGGCAAGAGAAUAGUCAGAGCGCAUAUCCACACAAAUAGAAUUUUUUCUGUAGAUGGAAUGUGCAAAGGAAGUAAGUUUUUGUUGAACCAUGAUUGCAUCUAGUGGGGUGAAAGAAUUAGCAACUGUUAUUUCUCAAGAUUUCCUCUUGAAAUUGAGAACACUCAUCUUACACAAGUGAUACUGGUUUUCCAAUCUCUAAGUUUAGUUCCUACAGGUCUCAGGCGGUCAAUGAGUUACCGUACUGUUGUAAGCAUAAAUGCCAUAACAGUCCCAGAAACAGGCUUCAGGUGUUUGGAUUUUCUAAAGACUAAGCUCUCUGAGUACCAAUAUGAAUCUCAGAGGUCAUCCCUAUUAUAGGAGUCACAACUGGGUUGUCUUUGGCUUUUCACGCAGCCAUGGUGCCUGGAAAAUACCUUGGAGUAUUUUCUAUUAAGUAU